AGUUUUGAGGGUAGCUAUUGUCUCUAAGAGAUAAAUGGCAUAGCUUUAAAUAGCUAUAAAAAGAAUUGAUUGGUUCAUUUAAUGGGACUACUAAGGGGACAACCAUGUUGAGUGCUUAUAAAUUUUAGCUCUAUAGAAAACUACAUUUCAAUUGAAAUUAUCGACCGACUUAGAAUUAAAAUUAAGGAAAUCAAAGGAAGAAGUAUAUAA
rnacentral:lncRNA from 1 species